UGGUGGUAAUGUGAACAGAAACACCUUUAAUAGGGAUUUACAAAUCAGUAUGAACUAGCUAACCAGCUACACUAUAUUGCCAAAAGUUUUGGGACACCCCUCCAAAUCAUUGAAUUGGGGUUGGACUUGGCCCCUUAGUUCUAGUGAAAGGAACUCUUAAUGCUUCAGCAUACCAAGACAUUUUGGACACUUUCAUGCUCCCAACUUUGUGGGAACAGUUUGGGGGAUGAACCCUUCCUGUUCCAACAUGACUGCACACCAGUGCACAAAGCAACGUCCAUAAAGACAUGGAUGAUCAAGUUUGGUGUGGAGGACCUUCACAGCAGUAGCGUAGGCCCGCCCACCCAGUCAGUUGCUUUCUACAGAAAAGACUGCUUUGACUACGGCGAUUGCUGGAUGCCUUUAUACAUGCCUUUGUCCGUAUUAGGUUUUUUGGCACGUCAUAUGUUACUUCUAUGAGCCAAUUUUUGUAUUUUCUGUGCGAGAGCGCCCUCCGGUUUCGAGGAAGAAUGAAACGUCUCUACGCUCAUGCUGCCCCUCUUCCUCCACACCGAGCACAUUUCACAGAGGGUCACCAAAGUUUAGUUGCACAUUAAACUAAAAUGAAACAGAGUAACUUCCUAAAGUUUGUGUCAAAAAGACGUUGUGUGCAGCCGGAGGAGAAAGAUAAUUCCGAUGUUCAGGAGCCAUGAAGCUCGAGUAGUAAGGAGCUCUGCUAGUGUUCAUUCACCUUUUACUCCAUGACCAGCAGCACUUUAUUCUCCAGCGUGUACCUCCCCUACACACCAGUAAAAUGAGGGUGAGGGUCUUCAACAGCUCCACCUCCACUCAGAUCCUUCACUCAUAUCCAGCAGAUGUAACCCAUUUAUGGUUGAGGAUUUCUUCAAACCGACAUUCAGGUUCCAGACAUGCCUUGAGCGAAGUACAUCUUCCUGUAAAAGAUGUCGUCCACGUUGUGGAACGGCAAGUGUCCACAGACCAGGUAAAACAGGAGAACUCCCAGACUCCACUUGGUGGCAGGAUAACCGAAAUACUCUCCAUCACACACCCACUCAGUGGAGAGAUACUCAAAGUGCCUGAGCAAAAAAGAGAGAAGGAGCACCAUCAGCACUGUUGAAAAAAAAAAAACUUCAAUGUAUUCUCUUUGAUUCUGUCUUGUACUUAUUAUGCACUUACCUUCAUAUUCUGUGUAGGGUGUGUGAGAGAGCAAAUCUCCACAGCCAAAGUCAAUAAGCUUCACUUCCAGUGUGUCAGGGUUGAUGAGAAGGUUCUCCGCCUUGAUGUCACCAUGAAAAACACCGGCACUACAGCAGUGACGAGCAGCUUUAACCACCUGACCCAUAAUUUUGUAGCCAGUGCUUCUGACAGUCGGCCGCCGUGAUGUUUAAGGAACUGCAGGACGUCCAUGCAGGGGCUGGGUCGCUCCAGGACCAAGAUGAAGCACUUGGACAUC